GAUGAAGAACGCAGCGAAAUGCGAUAAGUAAUGUGAAUUGCAGAAUUCAGUGAAUCAUCGAACCUUUGAACGCACAUUGCGCCCGCCAGUAUUCUGGCGGGCAUGCCUGUUCGAGCGUCAUUUCAACCAUCAAGCCCCCGGCUUGUGUUGGGGACCUGCGGCUGCCGCAGGCCCUGAAAACCAGUGGCGGGCUCGCUAGUCACUCCGAGCGUAGUAAUACAUCUCGCUCAGGGCGUGCUGCGGGUUCCGGCCGUUAAAAAAGCCUUAUUUACCCAAGGUUGACCUCGGAUCAGGUAGGAAGACCCGCUGAACUUAAGCAUAUCAAUAAGCGGAGGA
rnacentral:misc_RNA from 1 species